GACGAACGCUGGCGGCGUGCCUAAUACAUGCAAGUCGAGCGAGUCUGCCUUGAAGAUCGGAGUGCUUGCACUCUGUGAAACAAGAUACAGGCUAGCGGCGGACGGGUGAGUAACACGUGGGUAACCUGCCCAAGAGAUCGGGAUAACACCUGGAAACAGAUGCUAAUACCGGAUAACAACAGAUGAUGCCUAUCAACUGUUUAAAAGAUGGUUCUGCUAUCACUCUUGGAUGGACCUGCGGUGCAUUAGCUAGUUGGUAGGGUAACGGCCUACCAAGGCGAUGAUGCAUAGCCGAGUUGAUAGACUGAUCGGCCACAUUGGGACUGAGACACGGCCCACACUCCUACGGGAGGCAGCAGUAGGGAAUCUUCCACAAUGGACGCAAGUCUGAUGGAGCAACGCCGCGUGAGUGAAGAAGGGUUUCGGCUCGUAAAGCUCUGUUGUUGGUGAAGAAGGACAGGGGUAGUAACUGACCUUUGUUUGACGGUAAUCAAUUAGAAAGUCACGGCUAACUAAGUG
rnacentral:rRNA from 1 species